UACAGAGGGUGCAAGCGUUAAUCGGAUUUACUGGGCGUAAAGGGUGCGUAGGUGGUUUUGUAAGUCGGAUGUGAAAUCCUCGGGCUCAACCUGAGAACUGCACUCGAUACUGCGAGACUAGAGAUCGGUAGAGGGCGGCGGAAUUUCCGGUGUAGCAGUGAAAUGCGUAGAUAUCGGAAGGAACAUCAAUGGCGAAGGCAGCCGCCUGGGCCUGAUCUGACACUGAGGCACGAAAGCGUGGGUAGCAAACAGG
rnacentral:rRNA from 1 species